CUCCCAUCGACUCCUGGGGUUAUUCUUCCUCAGGCCACUGCUGCUCGAGCUACGUACCAAGCAAGCUAGUUUUUUCUUACCACCGCACCGCACGCCACACACUCGUUAAGCCCGUGCCAACACGAGAAGUCGCCACUAAUAAAUUACUGUUUUUUACUGCACUCGACCAGUCUACGCCGCGCAGCCGACUAAUUUAUACGUAAAAAUAAACAUUAAUCAGCAAUAAACGCCGCUGUUAGCGCCCGAACACAGCGCCCAAGCCCCGCCCGUAGCGAGCACCAUAGAUCAGACAAAAUGUUCGCCGUGAUGCAAAUCGACGAAGAUCACUCCAGGGAUUUUAGGCGUAAACUGCGCCCAAAGUGUGAAUUUGUCUGCAAGUAUUGCCAACGUCGGUUCACGAAGUCCUAUAACCUGAUGAUUCACGAACGCACACACAAGAGCCCGGAGCUGUCAUUCAGCUGCGAGGUCUGCGGGAAGAGUUUCAAAAGGCAGGACAAUUUGCGUCAGCACAGAUGUAGUCAAUGCUUGUGGCGGUGAAGGUGAUGGAGAUAGCACGAUCCAACAACAACGGUCUCUCUUACACAAUAGAGGAUAUACACUACAAUUCCAAUAAGGAGACCAUGAACGUACGGUGGUAAUACAAACAUAAUACGAUCACUGGAAAACCAUUGAGAUCAAAUAACGUCUGGGAAUUUAAACAGUAUUUAUUCUUCUAUUGUUGACACCAGAAUGGGAUUUUGCAAUCUUAAAAUAAAUUUAAGUUUUCGUUUAAUUUAACCUAUUCUCCAGUAGCACGAUUGUUAACACAUCGUGUUAAAAUUGAUACUUAGUAAGUAUCAUUUUUAACAUUAACAAGUUGACGAUUAUUAACCUUAACAUUCGAUUUCAUGAAAUAGUAAAAAUAAAAACUAUGUUUCUUUACAAUAAUCAUCUUUCAAAUUGAGUGCUAUUGGAUUUUAGGUAAUUUUUAACUGUUUGUAGCUAAACUGAAUUUAAACUGUUUGUUGUUAGAAUAUCAAGUCAGAAGAAAUAUCUCAUUUGAAAUUAUUUCAGCAAAUACAUACAUUAAUUUGAAAUAUAUCAAUAAUAUAUCAAUUAGUUUCGAUUUUCAACAAAAUUAACAAGCAUUCUGGUGAUUUGUACAUAGUAAUUUAUUAGAAUAAGUAAUGUUAGCAUCUAAUCGGCUUAACUGCUUAGCUAUUUUAUGUAAAAUAAUAUUUAUAUACUAUUUAAAAUAUUGUUACUAAUAUAAUCUUCUACGUAGAACGUACCUUAUAUUCGAUCGGUUUGUUUUGGAAAUCUUUAAGAAGUAUGUUUAGAAAAGAUAAGAAGAUGAACAAAAAAUUAUUUUGGCUUUUAAAAUAUAUUUCUAAUUCUUUCAUUUAUAUAUCAGGCUUCUAUAUAACAUUCUCUGUCGCUUUAUGUACAUUAUAAGGGUUGUUCCUAAUGCUUAGAAAUAUGGGUAUAUUUGUUUAAUUUUAACAAUGACUUGGCUUGGCCUUAAAUAUGUGCCUUCGAACAGAAUGCUUGAGAAUAAUUUUCAGGUUUUCAUUAAGCUUUGAAAAUGAUUCUGUGUUCUAGUUUUGUUCGCGAGAGCAUUAAAUUUAGAUUAAAUGAGUAAAUACAGUAAUAAUUUUAAGUUAAUACGUGUUUUUUUUUGCUGUUAUAAUUGAAUAAUGACUCAUGUGAAUGAUAAUAUUUAAUAUUUUAUAUAUUUUCUCUUUGUAAAUUCGUUAACAUUUCGGUAUUAAAAAGUUAUUAAAAUGAAAAUAAAUAUCUAUAAAAUUAUAUGUAAAAAUUUAAAAGAAAAAAUAUUUGCAAAUUAUUACCCAAAACUACCAUCGUUUCGCUUAAAUAGCGAAAUAGUAAUGGCAAAGUUUUAUUUUUUCAUAUUAUGUCUUUACAAAAUAUAUAAAUACAGUUUAUAUAUCAAAUGUCAUAAGACAAAUGCUUAAACAGAAUAUGCUUUAAAAUAUUAUACUGACAAGUUGUGAUGGUAAGUAAAAUAUUCCAUGUGCCAAUAUUUGACAGGACUCUGUCAUUUAGCCAUAUUUUAUAUAGAUUUAGUUGUAAAAAAAUAUUAAAUUUUUUAUAGUUACGAUUAUGUAUGUAUUCCAUUACAAUGUGUAGAUUGAUGAUAAUAAAUAUUGUGUAAUGAUAA